GCGCUUUUCAACAGCACUGUCGCUAUCGUGACAGGAUGUUCGACAGUCACGGCCCAGGUGGCGGGUGCUGGGAGGCUCGCCCGUCCGGGGGGCCUAAUAGCACAUGAACGUAGUCUGAGCGUCUCUGCUGAGAGGUAGAUGGCAUGAUUGCCUAUCCAAGGAUAAGUCCGAGCAUGAGUUUAAGAAGAUAAACCUGCUUCACUGAACUAUGGAGUGCACGGUUCUGCCUUUAAUAAACCACUAGGAAGCC